rnacentral:lncRNA from 1 species
ACAAAAAGCACACAUAAUACUUCAAAUAAGAGCAACCAGAUCCUUACAAGUGUAAUACAGUGGCAAUCACAGUAAUGACUACAAGUGUAAUACAGUACUUUAAAAGCUUUACAAGCAAUCACAAACUGGCACCUGCUCCCGUCAUGAACAUGCCAAACUCACAACAUGCCAAACUCGUUGGACUACCAUAGUGAUAUGAACAACAUGCCGAACUAGCUGGACAACCGUAGUUAGGGCUGGGAACAAACAGAACGACCUUCAAGAAAACAGACAACAUGCCUUCCUCGGUCGCCCUGUUACAUGAAUCAGUAGAGAAGAAUCAAAAAAACUGGGGCAAAUAUAUUAUGAACAGACCAUUCAAGAAAAGGAUAGUUAUUUAGAAUGAUAACACAAAUUGAGCUAGUACCAUGCUUUUUGUUCUCCAGCUAGUUAAAAUGAGAUACUCGUUCAUACAAGAAAGGUGACUCAUGAAAAUAGAGCAUUCUACUCAUAGCUCGCAGAGUAUCAAUAUUCUGUUCUUAUAAGCUUAUUCUUAUGCCUGAAGCAAGUAAGGAAAUCUGACCAAAUAAGCAACACCUCCAUAAAAUGAUCGUGACUAAAUGGAGCAGAGGAAGGAAAGGAGCUCACCAUGGCUGUUUUUGUAGGCGAUGCCGAACAACACAGCUGCCACCACCGUUGCAUGGAAGCAGCAGAAAAGAGGAGCCUGGCAUGACUUACCCCUUGUACCGAAUCAAAUCAUGCUGCACAAGAAGGACAAGAGAAAUAAGAAGAUAAUCUUGAGGUCAAAUCAAAAAUCAGAAAAAUAAAUCAUGGACUCAAGCACAUUCAUACAUAUACUUUAAGUUGUUAAACAGAAUCAUAGAAUGCCAUCACGUAAUCCAAAAAAUUUGAACAUAUAUAUAUAUAUAUGCAUGCUUGUCAAAGUUUCAUUCCAGAGAAUUAAAGUGCUGGGUAAGAAGCCUGAUGUACAAUUGAUACAAGUUAAUACAAGCCUGAUGUACUACUCUGGGUAAGAAGAAGCAGGUACUUUAGUAGUUUUAGCACACUAAUACAUGUGUUAAAAUGGAAGCAUCGCUGCUGGGUUAUAUUAAUAAAUAAUCUAAGUGUUGCAACACCCAACAAGAUUUGCAUGAACACGUAAAACCUAGCAAGUACUUGUACUGGGAUGCUGUCCAUGCAACAGAGACAACAAACCAGCUUAUCACAAGACUGAUGCUGGACUCCAUUGCCGGAAUCUACAGCUAGGCACUCAAGCUUAAGGGGAUCCUCAUGUGGAUCGAGCCUGCAUGUUAAUCUUUACACUAGCAGGGCCAUUUCUGUUCUCUUUCUUUCUUUGACACCAGU